GGCAAAUAAGAACUUGGGUUGUGUCUUCGAGGGCGAAGACAAUUUAAGGAGGGAGAAAUGUAAUGGUUCUGGCCGUGGAUAUCGGCCUGGGUAGCUCAGUCGGUAGAGCACCUGACUAGUGAUGCAGGGGUCCCGGGUUCGAUUCCCGGUCCAGCCAUACAUUUUCUCCUUUCCUGUUACAUAUAUACAUGUAUAUAGAGACAAUUUCUUUUCCUUUUUUUCUUUUUUGGCAUCUUAUUUUAGGCCUACAGUAUUAAUUUUGGGCUCAUUUACUAGGAAUAUUAUAACUUUAUUGGAAUUGUCCCACUGAAUUAAAGGGAACUCUUUUUUCAGGUGCGCAUGAUGCAACUUCCUGGAUGGUGUGUAGUCUGUUUGUCAACAUGUGAAACCCACGUGUAUUUUGAGGAGUAGCUUCCCCUGUUAAAGAUCAAUAAUGGUGGAUAAACAAUGCAGGAUGCUGUCAUGUCAUCAACAGAGAGUUUUGACACCCGUAUACCCGUAUUUCUACCAAUCACCUCUGUAACCUUUGUUGUGUUCAUCAGACAGAUGAUGGACCACUCUACUUCCUUUUACAACAGGUGCCCCUACAGAUUCACAAAGUUCCAAUGUUGAUUUUCCAUGACCCCCAUUCAGUGAGUGCACAACUUUAUGUAUUCUACUUUCAAAAUUUCUACUACUUGUAAUACAUUUUGGAUUUGAUUUUUAAUAUGCCCUAAUCACAGAUUCAGAUUUUUGUGUAGAAGUAUGAUAUUUAAUUUUAUCAAGAUUAUUUGGUCCUAAAAUCAAAUUUAUACAGUCUUUUAACAAACAUUUGUCUUCUUCUGUCAUGUUUAAUUCAAAGUCACUAGGCAACACUGAAGAUUUUCACUUCUUGC